rnacentral:rRNA from 1 species
GCGAGUGGCAGACGGGUGAGUAACGUGUAGGUAAUGUACCUCUUCGCUGGGGAUACCUAUCCGAAAGGAUAGCUAAUACAGAAUGAACUUAUCGAACGGCAUCGUUUGAUUAGUAAACCUCCGGGGAGAAGAGAUCAGCUUGCAUACUAUCAGAUAGUAGGUGGGGUAACGGCCUACCUAGGGUACGACGGUUAGCCGGUCUGAGAGGAUGAUCGGCCACAUUGGAACUGAAACACGGUCCAGACUCAUACGGGAGGCAGCAGUGGGGAAUAUUGCACAAUGGGGGAAACCCUGAUGCAGCGACGCCGCGUGGAGGAAGAAGGUCUUCGGAUUGUAAACUCCUGUCGUUGGGGACGAUAAUGACGGUACCCAACAAGAAAGCCACGGCUAACUACGUGCCAGCAGCCGCGGUAAAACGUAGGUGGCAAGCGUUGUCCGGAAUUACUGGGUGUAAAGGGAGCGCAGGCGGAAGGACAAGUUGGAAGUGAAACCCACGGGCUCAACCCGUGAACUGCUUUCAAAGACUGUUUUUCUUGAGUAGUGCAGAGGUAGGUGGAAUUCCCGGUGUAGCGGUGGAAUGCGUAGAUAUCGGGAGGAACACCAGUGGCGAAGGCGGCCUACUGGGCACCAACUGACGCUGAGGCUCGAAAGUGUGGGUAGCAAACAGGAUUAGAUACCCUGGUAGUCCACACCGUAAACGAUGAUUACUAGGUGUUGGAGGAUUGACCCCUUCAGUGCCGCAGUUAACACAAUAAGUAAUCCACCUGGGGAGUACGACCGCAAGGUUGAAACUCAAAGGAAUUGACGGGGGCCCGCACAAGCAGUGGAGUAUGUGGUUUAAUUCGACGCAACGCGAAGAACCUUACCAAGUCUUGACAUCCUGCGACGGUGCUGGAAACAGUACUUUCCUUCGGGACGCAGAGACAGGUGGUGCAUGGUUGUCGUCAGCUCGUGCCGUGAGGUGUCGGCUUAAGUGCCAUAACGAGCGCAACCCCUCUCCUUAGUUGCCAUCAGUUGAAGCUGGGCACUCUGGGGACUCUGCCACCGUAAGGUGUGAGGAAGGUGGGGAUGACGUCAAAUCAGCACGGCCCUUACGUCCGGGGCUACACACGUGUUACAAUGGCAGGUACAGAGAGAUGGUGUUCUGCAAAGCGCAUCUAAUCCUUAAAGCCUGUCUCAGUUCGGACUGGGGUUUGCAACCCGACCCCACGAAGCUGGAUUCGCUAGUAAUCGCGCAUCAGCCAUGGCGCGGUGAAUACGUUCCCGGGUCUUGUACACACCGCCCGUCA